AGCCUUGAUGAACUGAGCCGCGGAGUAGAAGAACGGACUCAUGUCAAACGCCGGGCUGUCAAACGCCUCCACCCCGUGGUCUGCCUCAUGCAGCACUGUGAGCCCAACUCGAUCUUGCUCCCCGCAGAAAGCCUUUCAUACAAAGAUCUGCCAUGAGCUCUACAAUCGGCCUUCGCCUCUUCUUCCCUGAGCGCCAUGGUAAUUCACCACAGCAGAUACCAUAACGUACAGCAUUGUGCAAAACAUUUGGGAUCUUUCAAUGAAAUAGGGAGUAGCAGGGGAGCUGGAGUCAAUUCUGGCAAGCGACAGGCACAGAUUUCACACAGAGAGGGAGAACACCCCCUGCUGCCUGCCUGGAUUGUAUUGCACAGGGUUCAUCUCUCUGAGUGCAUGAAUCAUGUGCCUCACAGCAGCGUUCUGAGAUGAGAUGGCAGUGCCAGUCUGCGUCUGCUGUAGCCAUUUCUUUCUCCAGCCAUGUCAAAGCUAGCUAGUUCCUUUCAUGCAGUUAGUCACUUUGCUAUUGUCUGUCAGAAUAAUAGAAAACGAUUCUAGGUGAGUCCCCAGUUCCCCGCCUUGCUGCCUUCAGGGUCUUCCUCUACGCCGUUGAGGGGUUGC